GACGAACGCUGGCGGCGUGCUUAACACAUGCAAGUCGAACGGUAAGGCCCCAGCUUGCUGGGGUACACGAGUGGCGAACGGGUGAGUAACACGUGGGUGACCUGCCCCGCACUUCGGGAUAAGCCUGGGAAACUGGGUCUAAUACCGGAUAGGACCGCACCGUGAGGGUGUGGUGGAAAGUUUUUCGGUGUGGGAUGGGCCCGCAGCCUAUCAGCUUGUUGGUGGGGUAAUGGCCUACCAAGGCGGCGACGGGUAGCCGGCCUGAGAGGGUGGACGGCCACAUUGGGACUGAGACACGGCCCAGACUCCUACGGGAGGCAGCAGUGGGGAAUAUUGCACAAUGGGCGGAAGCCUGAUGCAGCGACGCCGCGUGGGGGAUGACGGCCUUCGGGUUGUAAACUCCUUUCACCAUCGACGAAGGUUUUCUGACGGUAGAUGGAGAAGAAGCACCGGCUAACUACGUG
rnacentral:rRNA from 1 species